ensembl:lncRNA
CUCUCUCUCUCUCUCUCUCUCUCUCUCUCUCUCUCUCUCUCUCUCUCUCUCUCUCUCUCUCUCUCUCUCUCUCUCUCUCUCUCUCUCUCUCUCUCUCCUAGGUGUGUUGGUGGUGAAGCUGGCAGCAGGUGUGUUGCAUGAUAAUUAGCAGAUGAGCUGCAGGUGGGAGCUGAGUAACUAGUCCUUGGGUGUCUCCAUAAAAGCAGACCGCACCUGUCAUUCAAAGCUGGACCGUUGUCUAUUCUCCAGUCAGUACGUGAAGUUGACUCCUACCUGCUGGUUCUGGGAUCUUCUAGCCUGCUGGUCCUCCCCUCUGCCUUGGAUUCUGUUCUGACGGAGGAUUCCACCUCUCGCCAGCUUCGUCCUGGGAAACACAGGCUUCAUCUGGACGGAACACUCUGGGAGAAAUGCCUACCUUCUAUGAACUCUUGGACGCCUACAACCUUCCACGUGUUGAGUUCCUGAAAAGGGAGAGAGCUGAGAGAAGCCAGGCCAAGGACUGAAUUCCUACUUGUCAAGUUUCCAAGCCCUGGUAUAACAUUUGGUACGUUGAAGUUUACAAUCUGCGUUCUGUACUUAAUAUUAUUUAUUUUAUAUUCUGCAUAAAAUAAUUUUUAGUCUGGGGAUUUCUGUUCAGGAUUAGUUAGAGUCUAGGCUGGUUAGGGUUUUUGUAUUUUCAGUUGUUCUCCUGCCUUGGUUAUACUAUACGUGGGUUAACAUAGUUUAAGUUCUCAUCCUUGUGUAGUUAUCCUCCGUACCACUAGAUGGUUUCUGGUUUUCUUGGUUUAGUUUAGUUCCUGAGUUGGAGUUCUAUUUCAGGUUCUUGUAUUUAUCAUCUUGUUGUAAAUAAAGCAUUGCUAAAAUGUCUAUCUGACUGAGGUCUCAUUUCCUGCUCCUGAACCUUUUUCGAACCUGCUGUAACACUAAACCCCUUUAAAAUAUUUGGGAUUUAAUUAAAAAUCUAUCAUUUGUGACACUAAAUCAGAAAAAUCCUGACUUGGAGCUUGGCCUUUGACAAUAUUUGUUUCUGAGGUUACAAAGGACUUCUUUAAAUUGAAAGAAAAAGCAACUCCAGGUUACUUGAUUGACAGGAGAAGCCACAGAACUGACUCGGAGGCAGUUUUCUUUCAUAAAACAAUCGCAUUGCCAUUAAAGACAUGACGUUCCGAUCAUUUUAUUAAUAAACCUCAAACUUUGUGCAGAUGGUUCCCUGACGUGUAACAAUGACCCUGUUUGAUGCUGUUCUCGAAUAAAGAUCACAUUUUGUGCCCUGA